rnacentral:rRNA from 1 species
UAAGCUUUUCAGAGGAAUUUGCUCUUUAAUGGAUAAAACGCCAAAAUCUUACUUAAAUUUGUUAGUUCAAUUUGUAUACCACUAUAAAAACAAUUUAUAACUUUAAUUGUUUAAAUUUAUUAAAUUAAAAUAUAUUAAGUCAAGGUGCAGUAAAAAUUUAAGAAUGAAGUGAAUUACAUUACUUUUUAGUGAAAAAAAAAUUAUAAUAACACUUAGGAUUUGAAAGUAAAUUUGAAAUAGGAUGUCAAUUUGAAUCAAGCUCUAAAAUAUGUACACAUCGCC